CACGUUCGCGUUGUAGUUCUCGUUCCAGCCUCUUGACUCGCUCCCAAUCGGCGUCCAGUUUCCUCUCCUGGUUGGGACAACGACAUCGGCUGCGAGUACGAGAUCGGCUGACGCUCGUAUCGCCUCUGCCUCAGUUGCGGCUGUCAGUGCGCGUACGUCUGGGGUCCCCAUCGGACCCGCCUUCACAUCGACUACGCGAAGGUGUCUCCAAAUUUCCACGUUGACUAUCCUCAUCCAUAUUCUACGACUCAAAAUGGCAGUAAAACUAUUUCGAGGUCUUUCAGUCUCUUAGUAUAUUAAAUAAUUAAAAUAAUAAUAAAUAAAUAAGUAACAUUUAUCAGAAUACCUCCCUCAAUAUCACCUAACAAAAUGUACAACACAUAAUGAGAUCUAAGAUUUUCGCGAGUAUUCAUUUAAAUGAAUACUCGCGAAAAUCUUAGAUCUCAUUAUGUGAAACAGUACGGACUGGAAAUCGCAAACAGAAUACGCCGGUUGGAGUACCUCAAGACGAAGAAAGCCAAACUAUUACCAUCCUUGAAUUUCCUCAAGAGAUGCCGGGAUCACGACAUCAUACCAACAUGUGUCAAAAUAUCACCAAAAAAAGACAUCAAACAUAGCGGCAGGAUACUCCAUCAGGCAAGUAAACGGUUACUUUGUCAUCUUAUUAGACAACAUCGGUCGGAUGCACGGCAGUUAGAUUUUCAAAUUCCGCGUAGUAAAUCCGAAUAACACUAGUUUCAUUUAAAUGUACAACACAAUUUAUCGUUACAAUAGAGAUACAGGUAUAUUUCGUACAAUUACCACAUACAAUACGGCGGACUACAGAUUGAAAGUGGUGCACAAGAUAAAAGUCUUAAAUUUAUCUGUAACAAACUAGAAUAUUAAAUAAUAACAGAAAUAACAGCAAUGAUAAUAUCACAAUAUACACAUGUACCAAUACUUAUCAAUGUUAGACGUUGAUAUCUAAAUAUACGAGAAUAAAUACAGUAAUCCCCCUUAUUACACGGUAUAUUUGUUCCGCGGUAUAGGAAAACGCGUUGUACGAAAAUUCUCGUAAAACGCGCUCGUAUGACCUCGUAUAACGCGUUAUAUACAAAUGAUUCACGUUUAACUUUUCUUGUUAAAGAGGGUUUAAAUCGAAUAUUAAGGAAAAACUAUGUUAUGGCGUCUGUAUUAAUUAAAAUUUCACUAUCUAAUGAUUCUUCGUUUUCUAUUUUAUGUUUUUUCUGCAUUCUUACAUAUGGUGCAAGACAGUAUUGAAGAUUUAUUUUAAAUUCAGAAUCCCCGAGUUAAAUGAGGAAAAUCACGUGGGGAAUCCCCGUGUUAUAUGGGGGACAUGAAAUCGCGUUAUACGAAAACGAGUUAUAAGAGUACCGUGUUAUAGGGGGGAUUACUGUACUACUUAUCUCAAUAAAUCGGGUUUUAUUUCACACCAUAUGAGUUCAAAAUUAAAAAGGUAAUUGAAUACAUAAUAAUUUUAUUAAAAUGUUAUUGAAAUUCAAAAUAAAAUAACAGAAAAAUGUAAUGGCGAUAAAUCAUUUUAAAAGACCUCGUCUGCCCGUGAUCACGGUUGCUGCAAAGUAACCGAAACGUCGGGAUUAUGUAGUUUUUAAAUAAUAAAAUCCGCGUAGUAAAUCCGAAUAACACUAGUUUCAUUUAAACAUUUUAAAAGGUUUAUAUGCUUACUUACUACUACUGUUAUCGCACUUCUAAAUUGUAGAAAUACCUCCUCAUUAUAGGACAUUCAUGGAGUAUAGUAGACAAAUAGAGAUAGUAGAGAUUUACAAUUUCGAUUUAUUACAAUACUCUCACACGCGUAUACACCAAGUAUUUUUGAACAGCUCUCACCCCCGUCCGACCACUGUUUACUCUUUUUAUCUCUACCCCAUUGAUGUUCUACUUUAGUCAUCCCUUCCUCCGACAAUGUUGCCAGAGGCUAAUAUUACAAUAAUUAUCUUUGUAUAAACAAAAUCUAAUUAAUUUUUUACAAUGUUUGGAUGGUCUUACAAAUAAGUUUUGAUGACAAUAAUAUUGUUUUAAAUAUAAAUUAUCGACAUUAAUUUUCCCUCGGUUUUCAUUAUUUUUUAAACAUAACCUUACAUCCGAUCUCUCGCUCGAUAAAGUUGAAUCCAUCUUAGAACAACUAGUUGUGAAACCAAAACGAUCUGAAGCGGAUGGAAGGUUCAUUAUGGGUUUCCGAGCAGCUAGAGACAAAAUGCUUAAACAUUAUAAGAAAAGACGUUCUCUUCAUCUGACUACGCUUUGCUCUAGUGUUGGUGGAAUGCCGUGGAAAGCAAUACGAGGAAGUUCAGGUUCUUGAACGUCGGGAUCCCUAUAUAGACUGACACUUUUGGUCAAUUCAUUUGGGCUCUUAAAAUGGUCGUUAAUUUGUUUGUUGGUCAAGGGAAACUUUCAAGGGUUUUCAAAUGCUCAAAAGGGUAUUUUUCAUAAUCUACUUCAUGUUUUGCCCGGUCGAAAUAUCACGGUUUUCACGAUCACGAUAUUCCUUGAAUUAUUUUUAGAAUUGACCUUAACGCCCUAGCUAGUGGAUGACUAAGAUGAUAGUCGCUUAGGGCUUUGGUUAUACGUAGAUUUUUUUUGUAUUAAUUCCCGUUUUCCCUCCUUUUUUUAUCUUGCAAGAAUUGUCUUUGUUUUUGCGAGCGUAACGAUUUUGAGGUAGAUAUUGUUCGCUAAAGUAGGUGUAAUUUUCAAAAACAUGAAUGUGGGUGCCAUACCGCAUCGCUGGGUCAUAAUGGAUUAAUGCUCAAUGAUUUAAGGCUUUCUUAAUUAUAGUAUGCACCAUAUUAUGUGCUUGGAAAUUAGAAACAUGCAAGCCAUAGAGUCGAGUAUUGAAAAGAUAAAUGAGCGUAUAUUCAGUGUAAUUAAAAUAAUCGUAUAUAGUAGAACCUAAUAUGAUCGCGUCAUCUCUUCCUUUUCCAUAAUAUAUAUAAAGUAAAUUAAAGUUUUCGAUAAACCAAUAACCUCUUCAGUGCAAACUAUUUGAGAAUAAAGAUAAUAGUUGCCUUUAUAUUCUAACUGUUAAACCUUUAUACUACGCAAUGUUAUCUUAGGUUUCGUUUAAGUUCCACCGGUUUUUAUGUUCGCAACUCAAUAAAACAUUGAUUCGACAAUUCGCCAUAAAUCGUAGUUAAGAUUAACCAACAAUAAGUCAGUGGUCCGACUUUGAAUCUUGAGUUAAAUCAAAAUGCAAGGAAUUUAUGUGGCAAUAAAAGGUUUUAAUUAAGAAAAUGUAUAAAAUUUUACGUCUCAUAAAUGUAACGAUCUAGGCAAGGUUCAAAGUAUUGCUUUUUUACGACGAAAAUGAAUAUAUUUAAAAUUUACUUCUGGGAAAGUAAAUUGUUGAACAUCGCAUUUCUUUUGCUUACAAUACGCGCUUUAGAAAGCAAAGUUGUAUCAAAAUUGUCUAGAAGUUUAAACAACCCUUAUCACCCCGAGGACGAUCUCAUCACAGCUGACAUUGACAGUGACAACCAGAAAUAUGAUAGCGAAUCUGACAUUAGCGCUGUCAAAAUAAUGCAAACUAACAGCAGAUUAAAAAUAAACGGAAAAUAUUUCGAAACGGAUAAAAUAAAACAAUGAGAUUUUUUUUUA